GACGAACGCUGACGGUGUGCUUUAGACAUGCAAGUCGAGCGAGAAAGCCCUUCGGGGUGAGUAAAGCGGCGAACGGGUGAGUAACACGUGGGCAAUCUGCCCCUCGCAGGGGGACGAACCGGGGGAAACUCCGGCUAAUACCCCGUAAGCUUGAUGGAUCGCAUGAUCCAUCAAAGGAAAGGUAGCUUCGGCCAUCCGGCGAGGGAUGAGCCCGCGGUACAUUAGCUAGUUGGUGGGGUAACGGCCACCAAGGCGGCGAUGUAUAGCUGGUCUGAGAGGAUGAUCAGCCACACUGGGACUGAGAUACGGCCCAGACUCCGUACGGGAGGC
rnacentral:rRNA from 1 species